CAAAAUCCAUGUGGUUUGUAUUAGUGUGGGUGUUCAUUAGCUAAAGGUGAGCAGCCUUAGGCAGGAAAAGCAAACCCACAGAAUCUGGAACUUUGGGGUUUUUUUUUGGAAGCAGAUUGACUUCAAGCAGCACUGAAGUGGCUCACACCUGAUGAAUUCACACUUUGCUCUCCACCCCGUUGGAAAUUUGUGGUUUUCCCAGUUGAUGGUUGGAGGGGGAGGAUUUGCUUGACCCUGCUGGAGCUGGGGGUUGGACUCUGUGAUCUCCUGAGCUCCCCCUUUUCUCUCAGUGCUUUCCCUUCCUCCAGCCAUGGAUUCAGGGUUUCAGCUCCUUCAGGCUGCUCUCACUGAGGGCUGGGAUGCAGAAAUCUGGGAUUUGCUCCCUGUUUCCCUUCCCAUGCCUGCCUGGUCCCUGGGCAGGUGGGAGCCUGGCCUGGCACGGUGCAAAUCCUUCAUUUCUGGGAUGUGGACAGAGGGAAGAGGGCAAGCUGGCAGGGCUUGCAGCAGGAUUUGGUGUCAGCACUUCCUUGGGGCUGGAAUUGGGGUUUGUGGGCAGCUGAGGCUGUUCCAGAAGAGGGAUGAGUGGAAUUUCAGGGUGAUCUUAACCACAGUUUUCUCUUAAAUUUUUCUUCAUUUGGGCAAAAUUACUCCACAACGCUCUGCACUGCCUUAAAUUUGGCCCAGUCCAGAACCAUUCCCUUGCCAGGUGCACCCUGGCUGUGCUGGGCCCCUCCAGCUCAAACUGGGAUUAUUCUGGAUCCUGCUUUUGAAACACACACAUGCACACACACACGGAUAUUUUUCUGUGCUGCAUUUUCUGUGAUGAAAUUUUUUAUUGCUUCUGCCUGCCCUGGGGUGGCAGCUGUGCCAGGGCAAUGUGCAGACAGCACGUUCUGCAUCCCAGAAAUUGCCUGCCUUCCUUGGCACCACUUCCACUUCCCUGUGCUCCACAGGCUUGGGAAGCAGCAGCCUCAGCUGGGAGCUAAACUUGUGACACACUUUGGGUUUUGGCAGAGAGGAGUCAGGAAAGGCUUUGUGCACCUCAGCCUGGCCAAUGUCAGGCUUUUCCUAUUUUUUUCUUUUAUUGCUACCCAUAACCAGAGUGGAAUUUUACCCCUGGGGAUGUGCUGGAGGCUCUAAAUGUGGACUAGAGAGAUUUUUGCCAGGUGUAAAAGAAUCUCCCAAGUCUUUUGCCUGUGAAGGUGGGAGAGGAACCUGAGGGCUUUUAUUGGCAGCUGUGGGUCAAGUAUCUGCUCUUGUACAGGGCUGAGAGGAUUCUAAAUAAUUGCUGGGGGUUUUUUUAUUAAUUUGAUAUUUUCAGUUUUCUGACUGCCCCAGACCAGGACAGGGAUGAGCAACACACGCUGAGCUCCAAAAUUUUUGGGGUGGACAAAAGGCAGGUGAGAUUUGGAGAAAUGUGCAGAGCAGGCACCUUGGACUCUGCAGGCAUCAUCCCAGUCCCCAUCUGGGUGCACUGGUGUCCCUUAUCCCGUGGGGAAAGUGGGACAGGACUCACCUUCCUGGAGCUUGGCUGAGCCCAGGCAGCUCUGGAGCUCUUCCAGCCUCAACAGCUGCAGUGUUAAAUCUCAAUCCCCUCUAUCAUCUGCUGGUUUUUUAAUACUCUCCAAAAUCAUCUGCAUUUUCCCUUUUGUGUGGUUCCUGGAUUUCCUGACACAAAGCCCUGGCUCGGGGGUGCAGCAGCCAGGAGGGAGGGAGGACUGGAAACACCCACACAAAACCUGAUGGGAUGCAGCUCUUCCUCCCUGCAGGUUUGCUGUUCAUCACCCAGAAAACCUCCCAAAAGCUGCUGCUACCACGCUGGAUGAGGGGGCUGGGGGAUGGAAAUGGGUUAAUCCAGGCCAAUUUAAACAUUGUCCCUUUCCCUCCUCAGCAUCCUGCUCCAGGCAUGGGCUCAGCAGGAAGUUGUCUCUUAUCCCCAUGGGCUGCUCCAAGAGGGACAGGACCCCCUGUCCUGUGUCACCACCUCAGGAUCUGAGUGGGAUUCAUGGAAAAGCAGCUGGUGGGAAGAGAUCCCCAAAAUCCCAAGGUGUGUGCAGAGAUCCUCCUGAGCUGCUGGAAAUCAGGCUGAGCCCUUCUCCAGCAUCUGUGGGGUCAGUGGAUGUGGUGGGAAGGGCAGGAUCUGCCUGGAAUCACCUGGUGGAGCCUCCAGCAGUGAAAUCCAGCAGUGCUGUGAGUUUGGGUCAGAUUUUGGGGGGGAGGUUGGGAUGCUCUUCAGGAGCAUGGGAGGAGGUGGGAUCCAUGGCAGUGGAAGCCCAGGUGGGGCUGAGUUUUGGGAGCAGUGAGGGUUCAGCAGCGUUACCCUGUGGGGUAUCCCUGGAGCAGACGCCGCUGUGGGGCCUUGCAGGAGGAACAGGGAGGUGAGGAAAGGGAUGGGAAUGGAUUUUAGUGGAUUUAGGGAUUAGAUCAGCUGGGCUGACCCCAAUGAGCAUCUCAGGGCCUGCCCUGCAGACUCAUCCCUUGGCUCCCAGCCUUCCCAGCAGGUUUUGGCUCUAUCCCUGAUGUUGUUUGGAGCCUCACGGGAUCCGGGUGCCGUUGGUGAACUCGGUACUGGCCACAGCUGGCAGGAGAAAAUUCCUCCUGGAACUUUCUGCCAGCCUUCAAAUCCCCCAAAGAAGUGUUAAGUGCAGUUAUUUCCAGCUCCAGGGCACAGACAUUUAUUCCUCCCGAUGCCACUGCCAAUCCUGCCAAAAGCAGGAAAUCCCAACAUCUCCAGGCAUCCCAUUCCUCCUGCUACUCUUAUUUUUUUUAGUUUAAUAAUAUUUUAUCUGUCUCUUUUUAUGACUUUUCUGCCUUUUGUCCCAUUUGAAGCCACAAUAGAUGAUUUACAGCAACCCCCUCAUGAAAUCAGCCUUCAGCCCCCUUUUUUCUCCUUGCAAAUCAGCAAAUGGGUGUGAGGAGUUUUGGAGGGGAUCAUCCCUGCCCCAGCCAGAUGCUCUCCCAUCCAGCAAACGAAGAGCACAGCCUGUUUCCUGUUAAAUCUUGCUGCUUGCAUUGGUUUACAUUGUUUGUCUGAUGUUUUACAGCUUCCAAGCUGAUGUUGCAUUAAAGCUGGCUGGAGUUGAGGCAAAAAAUGAGAUGCAGGCACUGGCAGGGUUCCCCAAAUGCAUUCAUGAGGGUUGAUCCCACAGUCACAUUUCCUCAGCCCCUGCAGGAGCUGUGUCCUGGCCGAGGCUCCAAAAUAUGCUUUUGGGACAAUUUUGGAGUUUUGGGACAAUUUUGGAGUUUUAAUUGCGGGGCAGGUGGUGGAGGGAUUGUGCCUUCUCCUCCCCCAGCCAGGUUUGGUGGCUCUGGGUGGCUCCUGAGUUUCUCUUGACCCCUCAGCUUUAUUUACACUUUCUGUUCCUUGCUGUCCUGUUGAGGAGGGGAGUGAGGGAGGCUGGGUGGGCACCACCAUAAGCUGGGGCAGAAUUUUUUUAUUAUUUUUAUAAAGAAGAACAACGAUGGGGAUGGGAUUUUAUUUCUGCCUUGUCUCAUCUUUAACUGUGGGAAUUUGAACUCCCCUCCUAAGAACCUCACAGAAAAGGGCUGCACCAUCCCAUCAGCAGCAUUAAUGAAAUUCCUUCAGAGUUUUGAUCCUGUGUCAUUGGCAAUGGGGUUUUUUAUUUUAUUUUUUCAGGGUUUGUGAGCUGCUUUCACUUUCUUGUGCCAUUUCCAGGUGCAGAUGAGAUCAUUCCUUUUGAUCUCUUUAUUAAUGAGCUGGUGGAUAUUUAUCUCAUUAGGAGGCAGUGUGCUAAAACUUUACAAACUCAGGCCUUAAUCUUGCCAACAACUGGGAAUUUUCAGCCAUUUAAACCAUGGGACAAGAAAUAAGAAACAAAAACUAAGAAAUAAGAAAUCCCUCUUCUCUUAAGGGUCGACUGAGAGCAUCACACAUCACCCAAAGCCUUCAGCAGAGACUUUAUAAAAACUCCAGCUUAGCCAGUCUCUGUAAUACUGAUUUGGGUUUUUUUAGGGUUUUUUUUAAUUUCAGGAAAACCUAAAGAAGGGGAAGGAAUUAGGCAAUGGGUUAUUCUGGGAUGUCCCCGUGCCGGAGAUGAGCUCUCCUCCCGCACACGUCCUCGUGCCACAUCAGCAGCUGUCUGCAAGCCAAGGACUGGGGAGAUGCCUAUGGCUGGAAAAACAGCUCCUUCUGUAUUUAUUGGACUUCCUAGCAGCUGGAAAAUCCCAAAGAUCUGCACCUCCAGGGGCUCCUGCAGCUGGGGGGAAAAGUCUUCCUGUGAAAUAAAUCCGUGUGAUGCCUAAAAUGCCUGUGAUGAGGGCAGCAUGGAGAUGUUCCUGCCCCCAGAAUUAUUUCUCCAGAUAUGUGGCAAGGUCAGUUCAUGGCUGUCCCAUCUCGGAGCCAGAGGGAUCAGGCAGAGAUGGGGAAUAUGGAGCUGUUUAUCAAAAAAUGCUGCUUUUUAGAGUUGGAGCAAAAAUCACCUUGAUCCUCUCUGAGCCAUGAGCAUGUGAAGGUCAGGUUGUAAAAAUGAAAUUUGUGUUCUGACUUGGAUAACUGCAGUUCAAAUCCUCCUGAAAUGGUGCUUGCAGCAGGAAAACCUUGCUUGGUGCUGGAGCAGGAUGAGUCCAAACCCUGCAGGAGCCAGGGAUCCCUGCCAGGCAAUCCAGGAGAAAGCUGGAGGUGGAGAUGCAGGCAGGUGAUGCAAACCUGCAGUUUUGGGGGAUCCCUGUGCUGGCAAACACUGGGAAUGGCAUUUCUGCUCCCACAGGGACUCCCAUGGCUUGGUUUGGGUGGCUUUGAGCAAACCUUGCCCUGCCAAGGGCAGGCUCUGCACGGGCACUGCCAUCGCUGCACAAGGGCCAGAAAAAUCUCAGUAGCAAGGAAAAGCAAUAAAAAUGAGUGUUCCUCUGGGAAAAGCUGAGCCAGACGUGAACAUCCUUCCAAGUUAACCACUGCCCUGGCUGGGUGUGUGGCUGACAGGUUUGCUCUGCUCCUAAAAUCAUCUGUGUGAGGAUCAAGGCAGGAUCUGGGUGCAGGAACGUCUCAUUCUCCUGGGAUGCAGCAAAAUGUCAUCAGCUUCAUGUCUUGUGGCGCCUGUUUUCCCUAAACUCAGAGGCUUGUGGACACAGUUCUUGGAUUUUCUCCUCCCCUGGGAAUUUUAAGUCUUCCCUGAAUGUCCAGGUUGGGUUUUUUUGGCUCAGCCUGCCCUUGCAGACCCUGCUGGGGUUUACCUGUGGUGCUGGGUGCCAGCUGCAGCCAGCAGUGGGUUAUUCCCAUUCCCUGUCCCUGUUCUGGUGUCUGGGAUCACCCUCACCCCAAGGGUGUCUCAGAGCUGGCAUGUGGACAGGGAUCCUGCCCUGGGAUCCUGCAAGGCACCACUGAGGGUUUCAGGGCUGUGCUGAUGGAAUCAUUUGCAGUUCCCUUUGGCAGGAAGGUGCCAAUCCCAUUAUUUUUCCCGUGGUUUUGUUCCCAUCCAUAAAUUCUCAGAUACCAGGAUGGACCCAGCACAUCCCUGCCACAGAGCCAAGGAAGCUCUGAGGGCUGCAGGGACAGGGAAGGGCACAGGCACAUGGGGCUUGGGAAUUUGGAACUUUACCCAAAGGCCAAAUGAAUUUCCAGAGGACAAGCUGAAAUCCAACCCUGCUCCUUUGUGUGUGCUUUAUCAUAUCCUGCAAAUCCCUCCCUUCAGUUCCUUCUGUGAAGGCUCCAAACUUCUACAACGGAGCUAACAGAGAUUUUUUUGAGCCCCUCACCCCUCCCUGCCUUUCCAAACUCCCUUUAGUGACUUCAGACAUGAAAACCACAAGCACUGAACCUCCUCCAGCUGCUUCUCCAUGAAGGAGAGAUCAGAGAUCCUUCUCAUGUGAGACACAGAAUGGGGUUGUGCCAUUACUGCUGAGGGAUUCGAGGGGAAAAAAAAUCAUAUUUAACAGUUCUGGUAAGAACAGCUCACCCUGCUCAGGGCUCCUGGAAUGAGCUGGACAGAGCCAGGGGGAAAUUCUUUGCAUUCUUGGGAUUGGGAGGUGGAAUUAAGGUGAAAUGCUCCUGGAGGAGGGCCAGGCUAUCUGGAGUAGCAAGCUGUUAAAUAUCACUGGACUUGAAUUCAGGAAUACUUUUGGAGUGGAGUUGGUUGCAGGAAGAGCAUCGGGUUGGGAUUCCAGGGAGGGAAAAAAAGCCUCAUUUUGGGUUGUGAACGUGCCAGACUCCAGCUAGCAGAGGUCAGGGCCUGCUGCUGGGGCUGGGACACUCUGAGCUGCCCAGGCUGUGCCUGGCUCCUGCACUGCCCAGCUGGGCUCUGCCAUGUGGGCUAAAAGUCUGCUGGGUGCUGUGGCUCACAUCUGGAAAUGAGAUGCGAAAAAAAAAGCGUAAUUUAAGCUCCUAGAUAGCACCAGAACUCAGGGAUGCUCCUUCUUCCUCCUCCCACCAGCAAUCCCAGACACAGCUGGAAGUGAGUGUGGCAAUGACUGUAAGCUGUGACAGUGAUGGGGAAAACAGGGAAAAAGAGAAGAAAAGACGGAAAACGGGAAAAACAGGGGGAAAUGGGAAAACAGCCACUUCUGCUCCUCUCAGAGCCCAACAAAACCCAGAUUGUGACCCUGCAGCACCAUCCUGCUCCCCCUGAGCUGCACCUUUGCCCCAGGGCUCAUCCUUCAUCCCUGCUGAGCCAACGAGGGGAAUCAUUCCCAACUUCCUGGGACCAGUGGAAAUGUCCCAGCUGAGCCAUUCCCGCUGCCCCUGCCCUUCUCAGGGUGUUUAUGUGCAAUAUUUGUGCAAUAUUUGCUGGGUUAUUUGAUCUGUGGCUGCCGGGUGAGCACUGAUUAAAGCAGAGCCCAGCGUGGGGCACCCUCUGCAUCCUGGAUUUCCAUCUGCUCCAUCCAGCAGCGCUGUUUUCCCCUUUUCCCUCAGAGAACAGCGUUUCCCCCACCCCCGAGGCACCGUUUGAUUGGAAGGCUUUAAAAGGGACAAUCAGUGUGAGUCACACUGAAAGCCAUAAAAGAAAAACCAAUAAAGCCAUCUGAAAAGUGC